UGAGGAAUAUUGGGCAAUGGGGGAAACCCUGACCCAGCCACGCCGCGUGAAGGAUGACACCCCUACGGGGCGUAAACUUCUUUUAUACGAGAAGAAAAGCCGGGUUGCCCGGCCUGACGGUAUCGUAUGAAUAAGCACCGGCUAACUCCGUGCCAGCAGCCGCGGUAAUACGGAGGGUGCAAGCGUUGUCCGGAAUUACUGGGUGUAAAGGGUGUCUAGGCGGGACUGUAAGUCAGAGGUGAAAGCCCACGGCUCAACCGUGGAAUUGCCUUUGAUACUGCAGCUCUUGAGUCCUGGAGAGGUUAUCGGAAUUCGUGGUGUAGCGGUGAAAUGCGUAGAUAUCACGAGGAACGCCAGAGACGUAGGUGGAUAACUGGACAGGUACUGACGCUGAAGCACGAAAGCGUGGGGAGCGAACAGGAUUAGAUACCCGCGUAGUCC
rnacentral:rRNA from 1 species